GGUGGCUCGGUGGUAGAGCGUUUGCCUUGCAUGCAAGAGGCCCUGGGUUCAAUUCCUCAGCACCA
rnacentral:tRNA from 1 species